rnacentral:rRNA from 1 species
ACUCUCGGCAACGGAUAUCUAGGCUCUCGCAUCGAUGAAGAACGUAGCAAAAUGCGAUACUUGGUGUGAAUUGCAGAAUCCCGUGAACCAUCGAGUUUUUGAACGCAAGUUGCGCCCGAAGCCAUUAGGCUGAGGGCACGUCUGCUUGGGUGUCUCA